UACAGAGGGGGCAAGCGUUAUUCGGAAUUAUUGGGCGUAAAGGGCGCGUAGGCGGCUUUGCAAGUGACGGGUGAAAUCCCUCGGCUUAACCGAGGAACUGCCUGUCAGACUGUGAGGCUUGAGACCGGGAGAGGUGAGUGGAAUUCCCAGUAUAGCGGUGAAAUGCGUAGAUAUUGGGAGGAACACCAGUGGCGAAGGCGGCUCACUGGACCGGAACUGACGCUGAGGCGCGAAAGCGUGGGGAGCAAACAGGG
rnacentral:rRNA from 1 species